CACACCGCCCGUCACACCAUGGGAGUUGGCUGCAAAAGAAGUAGGUAGUCUAACCGCAAGGAGGACGCUUAUCACUUUGUGGUCAAUGACUGGGGUG
rnacentral:rRNA from 1 species